rnacentral:rRNA from 1 species
GACGAACGCUGGCGGCGUGCCUAACACAUGCAAGUCGAACGGAGCUAUUGACUUCGGUUGAUAGCUUAGUGGCGAACGGGUGAGUAACGCGUGAGCAACCUGUCCUUCAGAGGGGGAUAACAACGAGAAAUCGUUGCUAAUACCGCAUAAGACCACACUGUCGCAUGGCAGAGGGGUAAAAGGAGCAAUCCGCUGAUUGAGGGCUCGCGUCCCAUUAGAUAGUAGGUGAGGUAACGGCUCACCUAGUCUGCGAUGGGUAGCCGAGCUGAGAGGCUGAACGGCCACACUGGAACUGAGACACGGUCCAGACUCCUACGGGAGGCAGCAGUGGGGAAUAGUUGGGCAAGUGGGACGAAAGCCUGACCCAGCAACGCCGCGUGAGGGAAGAAGGUCUUCGGAUUGUAAACCUCUGUUCUUGGUAGACGGAAAAAGAGUAGGACGGUACGACGAAGGAAGAACCGGCCCGUAACUAACGUACGCGACGACGACGACCGACCGGAACGGUAAAGUGGUGGUACGUACG